rnacentral:rRNA from 1 species
ACGAACGCUGGCGGCGUGCUUAACACAUGCAAGUCGAACGGAAAGGCCAGUGCUUGCACUGGUACUCGAGUGGCGAACGGGUGAGUAACACGUUGGUUAUCUGCCUUGCACUCUGGGAUAAGCUUGUGAAACUGGGUCUAAUACCGGAUAUGAACUGCCUUUAGUGUGGUGGUUGGAAAGUUUUUUCGGUUCAAGAUGAGCUCGCGGCCUAUCAGCUUGUUGGUGGGGUAAUGGCCUACCAAGGCGUCGACGGGUAGCCGGACUGAGAGGGUGUACGGCCACAUUGGGACUGAGAUACGGACCAGACUACAACGGGAGGCAGCAGUGGGGAAUAUUGCACAAUGGGCGGAAGCCUGAUGCAGAGACGCAGCGUGGGGGAUGACGGCCUUCGGGUUGUAAACUCCUUUCGACAGGGAAGAAGCGUAAGUGACGGUACCUGUAGAAGAAGCACCGGCUAACUACGUG